AGAGUUUGAUCCUGGCUCAGGGUGAACGCUGGCGGCGUGUCUUAGUCAUGCAAGUCCAACCCCCACACUCAAAGCGCGGUUUCUAAAAGAAAAUUCGCUUUGAGUGUGGGGAUGGCAACCGGGUGAGUAACACGUUGGUAAUCUAUACCUUUCUCGAGAAUAACCCCGCGAAAGCGGGAGCAAUACUCGAUGAGAGUGAGGGGACGAAAGUCAUUCUCACUUAAAGUUUUAUCGGAAAGGGAAGAGCCUACGUCCGAUUAGCUAGUUGGUAGGGUAACGGCCUACCAAGGCGAUGAUCGGUAGGGGACCCGAGAGGGUGUACCCCCACACUGGCACUGAAAUACGGGCCAGACUCCUACGGGAGGCUGCAGAUAAGAAUAUUGCGCAAUGGUCUAACGACUGACGCAGCGACGCCGCGUGACUGAUGAAGCCCUUCGGGGUGUAAAGGUCUUUUCUCAGGGAAAAAUAAAUGAUGGUACCUGAGGAAUAAGAGGUUGCUAACUCUGUGCCAGCAGCAGCGGUAAUACAGAGACCUCAAGCGUUACCCGGAAUUAUUGGGCGUAAAGCGUCCGCAGGCGGUGGGUUAAGUCAGGCAUUAAAUUCCGAAGCUUAACUUCGGAGCUGUGUUUGAAACUAAUCCACUAGAGACAAGGAGAGGCACACGGAAUUCCCGGUGUAGGGGUUACAUCCGUUAAUAUCGGGGAGAACACCAUUUGCGAAGGCGGUGUGCUAGACUUGUUCUGACGCUCAGGGACGAAAGCGUGGGUAGCGAAUGGAAUUAGAUACUCCAGUAGUCCACGCCCUAAACUUUGAAUACUUGACUUGAGGAGUUCGACCCUCCUUGAGCCUGAAGCUAACGCUUUAAGUAUUCCGCCUGGGAAGUACGGCCGCAAGGCUAAAACUCAAAGGAAUUGACGGGGACCCGCAC
rnacentral:rRNA from 1 species